rnacentral:rRNA from 1 species
UGGGGAAUCUUGCACAAUGGGCGAAAGCCUGAUGCAGCGACGCCGCGUGCGGGAUGAAGGCCUUCGGGUUGUAAACCGCUUUCAGCAGGGACGAGGCCACAAGGUGACGGUACCUGCAGAAGAAGCCCCGGCUAACUACGUGCCAGCAGCCGCGGUAAUACGUAGGGGGCAAGCGUUAUCCGGAUUCAUUGGGCGUAAAGCGCGCGUAGGCGGUUUGUUAGGUCAGGAGUUAAAUCUGGGGGCUCAACCCCUAUCCGCUCCUGAUACCGGCAGGCUUGAGUCUGGUAGGGGAAGGCGGAAUUCCAAGUGUAGCGGUGAAAUGCGCAGAUAUUUGGAAGAACACCGGUGGCGAAGGCGGCCUUCUGGGCCACGACUGACGCUGAGGCGCGAAAGCUAGGGGAGCGAACAGG